UGGGGAAUCUUGCGCAAUGGGCGAAAGCCUGACGCAGCGACGCCGCGUGAGGGAAGAAGGCCUUCGGGUUGUAAACCUCUUUUAGCAGGGAAGAAGCGAAAGUGACGGUACCUGCAGAAAAAGCGCCGGCUAACUACGUG
rnacentral:rRNA from 1 species